UACGGGAGGCAGCAGUGGGGAAUAUUGGGCAAUGGGCGAAAGCCUGACCCAGCAACGCCGCGUGAGUGAAGAAGGCUUUCGGGUUGUAAAGCUCUGUUAUAGGGGACGAAGGAAGUGACGGUACCCUAUAAGGAAGCCCCGGCUAACUACGUGCCAGCAGCCGCGGUAAU
rnacentral:rRNA from 1 species